AACCCAGAGUCUGGAGGAAGAAUGGAGAGGCACACACUGCAAGAUGCUUGAAGUCCAGUGUGAAGUUUCCACAGUGUGUGUUGAUUUGGGGAGCCAUGUCAUCUGCUGGUGUUGGUCCACUGUGCUUCAUUAAGUCCAGGGUCAACACAGCCGUCUACCAGGAGAUUUUGGAGCACUUCAUGCUUCCUUCCGCAGACGAGCUUUAUGGGGAUGCUGACUUCAUUUUCCAGCAGGACUUGGCAUCUGCCCACACUGCCAAAAGCACCAAAGCCUGGUUCAAUGACCGUGGGAUUAUUAUUCUUGAUUGGCCAGCAAACUCGCCUGACCUGAACCCCAUAGAGCAGUGGUUCCCAAACAAGUCCUUGUGG